rnacentral:tRNA from 1 species
UGAUCGCCUCGCGCGCCGAUUUCAGCGCGGGAUCCUCCAGCGAGCGUUGCGGGAAUGCGGGUGCGAAACCCGCGGCGACCAG